AUGGUCACAUCAUGUUGAAACACUGGCUCCCAUAUGAUCACCAAAGUUAAGCAACGUUGAGCCUGCUCAGUACGUUGUUGGGUGACCACUUGGGAAUACCAGGUGCUAU